rnacentral:rRNA from 1 species
AACGAACGCUGGCGGCAGGCUUAACACAUGCAAGUCGAGCGCCCCGCAAGGGGAGCGGCAGACGGGUGAGUAACGCGUGGGAACGUACCUUUUGGUUCGGAACAACUCCGGGAAACUGGAGCUAAUACCGGAUAAGCCCUAACGGGGAAAGAUUUAUCGCCGAAAGAUCGGCCCGCGUCUGAUUAGCUAGUUGGUGAGGUAACGGCUCACCAAGGCGACGAUCAGUAGCUGGUCUGAGAGGAUGAUCAGCCACACUGGGACUGAGACACGGCCCAGACUCAGAGGGGAGGCAGAAGGGGGGAAAAUGGGAAAAGGGGAGAAAGCCUGACCCAGCCAGGCCGGGGGGGGGAAGAAGGCCGUAGGGUUGAAAAGCUCUUUUGUCCGGGAAGAAAAUGACGGUAACGGAAGAAUAAGCCCCGGAUAAUUUGGU